AGAAUCAACGCUGGCGGCGUGCCUAACACAUGCAAGUCGAACGAGAAAGUGGAGCAAUCCAUGAGUAAAGUGGCGCACGGGUGAGUAACACGUGACUAACCUACCCUUGAGUGGGGGAUAAACCUAGGGAAACCUGGGCUAAUACCGCAUAAUACCUUCGGGUCAAAGGAGCAAUUCGCUUAAGGAGGGGUCGCGGCCGAUUAGUUAGUUGGCGGGGUAAUGGCCCACCAAGACGAUGAUCGGUA
rnacentral:rRNA from 1 species